AGAUUUCCUCAUUAGAUUGCAAUUUACAAGCUCUAAUUUUGAUUCAAUGUUUUGAUUCAAUUCCUAUACAUUUUGCUAUUCAGCUAUUAUGUCAAUUUUGAGAAUUUCACUCUCUACUAAUGCUUAUUCAUUAAAAGAACCAGCGUAUGAGAGUAAUUUCUUUCAGGGCUAUACUGUCACACUAUAUGAUUUGGAUUCACUAAAAAUAAUCAGCUCACAAGAAUCAAUUGCUUCUGGAAUCAGGUUACAUUGGUCACGCUGUAUGUUUUUAAUUCUCUAAAAAGAACCGGCUUAAAAGAGUCACUUGAUUUGGGAAUCGGGCUACACUGAUCAUGCUGUAUGCUUUUCAUUCACUUAAAAUAACUGGCUCACAAGAGUUAUUUGUUUGUUGGGAAUCAGGCUACACUGGUCACGCUGUAUGUUUUUGAUUCACUAAAAAGAACCUGCUAUUAAGCGUUACUUAUUUUGGGAAUCGAGCUAUAUUGGUUAUGCUGUAUGUUUUUGAAUCACUAAAAAAUAACUGGUUCAUAAGAGUCAUUUGCUUGUGACUUGGGCUACACUGUUCAUUGUUUUUCAUUCAUUUAAAAUAACUGGCUCACAAGAGUAAUUAAUUGAAUUGAAUUUAAUUGAAUUAUUUGUUUGCUGGGAAUCAGGCUACACUGGUCACACUGUAUGUUUUUGAUCAUAAGAGUCAUUUAAAGUUGAGUGAGUUAAACUUUUACAUAAUUUUAUACAUGAAUCACUUCAAACUACUUAUGCUUCCUUAGAAUGGUACUGUAUGCUUCAUCAAGAAGUUUAUUUGAAAACUCCUCAAAAUCCUAAGGUCUAUUCUCUUUUUUCGUCUUCCUGAGGUGGUUAGACGUAGGUAUAGCCCACCUAACCAGCGCCCCAUGCUGGGUGAUCUACCUGCGCGUUCUCCAGGAUGCAGUGUGGCCCGGGGGGGAGCUGCCUGCGGUGCCUCGGCCAGAAAGGAGCCCAGAGCAGAGAGAGAAGACGAGACUCCAAUGCCUGCACUGCCUCAUGCAGCUGUUCCCAGAGUUAAUUACAGACAUGCUUGGCUCUGAGAAAUGCAGGCUGGUGUGGGAGCAUGUGCUGAAAUCUCUACAGGACCCCAGUAUUAACAGGCACUUGGUUUACUGUAUUUUUGACCUGCUGCUGGAGUUCCUUGUUCCAGAAUUUUCUGAGGAGACGUUCCAGAGGUCUUUACUUCAGAGUCUCCCUGGGGAUGUAGAGAGAACACCAUCAUCCGCCUAAAGACACCAUGUUUCUUUUCUUCCCUCUUUCAAAACUAGUGCAGUGGUUUUGAGAUGAGGACAUUUGGAUGUGUUUUUAUCAGUCUGGCUUAUCAGUUUGGCUGGCUUUGUAGAUAUCUGUUUUUGUCUCUCAGUUUCUAUCUGACUUUCUAACUCGCUGUCUCUUUCAAAUGGGUUCGGAGUAGAAGUUCAAAAUAAGGUUUAAGGCACCAUUUUGAACUUAAACUUACCCACAAUGUGUGGUCUUUGAAUACUGAAUAUUUUCUAUUCAGACUAACUUUCAAGUGAACUUCAUUUCACAUCAAAGUCCUUGGAGACCACUCAAAUAAGCUCUUGAAUGUAAUUGUAGUACAUUCAUAGAGUAUGCACCUUAUAUGCACCUUAUUCAGGACUUUUGUCAAACUACAAGUUAUUUUCUGAAAGGCGUUUCAUCAGCUGAACAAUAGGUAUGUUGUCAGGACAAUCAAUUGAAUGCACUGCACUUCUAUCUCUCACAGCCUCGAUUUUAUUACUGUCAAAAAUUAAAAACAAUGCUACCCUGACUAAGGUCAAUUUAAAUAGGAGAAAGGAAAGUAAUAUUCAAUUUCAAUUGAAUGUUUUAAAGAAAUUUAUUUAAAAUGUUGUUUAUAUUAUCUUCUGAAAUUCAUGACAGUUCUACAUAAAAUACCCAAAAGAAAAACUAAAUGCACCUGCUUAUGUUCUUUUUUUAAUCUCUCGUGUUCUUUCUCUGAGCCUUAUUUUUUGUCCAAACCUCAUACUGCAGUCGAAUCUUUAUAGAUCAUACU